CUACGGGCUGCUGCAGUGGGGGAUAUUGCACAAUGGGGGAAACCCUGAUGCAGCAACGCCGCGUGAAGGAAGACGGUCUUCGGAUUGUAAACUUCUAUCAGCUGGGAAGAAAAUGACUGUACCAGACUAAGAAGCCCCAGCUAACUACGUGCCAGCAGCCGCGGUAAUACGUAGGGGGCAAGCGUUAUCCGGAUUUACUGGGUGUAAAGGGUACGUAGGCGGUUGCUUAAGUCAGAUGUGAAAGCCCGAAGCUCAACUUCGGGACUGCAUUUGAAACUGGGCAACUAGAGUACAGGAGAGGAAAGUGGAAUUCCUAGUGUAGCGGUGAAAUGCGUAGAUAUUAGGAAGAACACCAGUGGCGAAGGCGGCUUUCUGGACUGUAACUGACGCUGAGGUACGAAAGCGUGGGGAGCGAACAGGAUUAGAUACCCCGGUAGUC
rnacentral:rRNA from 1 species